rnacentral:misc_RNA from 1 species
UUUCCGUAGGUGAACCUGCGGAAGGAUCAUUCAUAAUAAAGUGUUUUAUGGCACUUUUUAAAAAUCCAUAUCCACCUUGUGUGCAAUGUUAGAUCUCGUCAAUCUUGGCGAGAUUUUUAAACAUCAACUCAUUCUUUAACUAAUUUGUCUGAAAAAUAUUAUGAAUACUUAAUUCAAAAUACAACUUUCAACAACGGAUCUCUUGGCUCUC